rnacentral:lncRNA from 1 species
CCUUAGCUUUUUCCAAUAGAGAUAAUGGAAAAUCUUUCAUCUUCAAUAUGCUUCCAUCGACCUUAAUUGGGGUCAUGCUUGAACAAACCAUUUCAAAUUCUUUUAAAUGCUUGUUUGGAUCCUCCAUAGAUAGCCUAUGGUACUUGGGAAUUGAUACGAGUUUGAAAUUGGUACUUGGAAACAAACCACUUCAAUCUUAAGUGUUAUGUGUUUCAAUCUGUGGAGUUUGAAAUUGGUAUAAGCAUAUGGAAUCCCUGGUUCUCACUUCUAAGUAGUAGCAUUCCGUUCAUGAGAUCAUAUAUAUACAUGCAUUUAUAAUUCCAGAAAUUACCUUCUUUGUUUAAAAGCAUAUGUGAGUACUAGUCCAUAUGUUUACAUUAAUCUUCUCACAUAUACCUAGUAUAGGGAGUGUAGUCAGAAAAUCUGUGUGAAAAUAGAGUGUAUAUCCAGUAAGGAAUUGAGGGAAUUCUCUAAGGCAUGUUACUUCAUUCAAAAUGUUGUUUUAAUUGAUUAAAUGCGAACUAGUAAAUGGUGACUAUGAUUAAGGGUGCUUGAUGCGAAAAUUAACUUAACACACAAAUUAAACCCUCUUGUUGUCAAAUUGUAGUAUAAAUGCAAGUAGGGAUCGUUCUGGACCGGAGAUUAGGAGGGAUUGCUAAUCUAAACUAAACUGACUUACAAAAAGAAACUUAAAAACACUUAACUAGACUCUAUAGACUCAAAACACUUAAAAACACAAAUUAAAACAGAUUCUAACUAAUUAGAGACA